rnacentral:rRNA from 1 species
UACGUAGGGGGCUAGCGUUGUCCGGAUUUAUUGGGCGUAAAGAGCGUGUAGGCGGCCAGGUAGGUCUGCUGUGAAAACUCGAGGCUCAACCUCGAGACGUCGGCGGAAACCAUCUGGCUAGAGUCCGGAAGAGGAGAGUGGAAUUCCUGGUGUAGCGGUGAAAUGCGCAGAUAUCAGGAAGAACACCAAUGGCGAAGGCAGCUCUCUGGGCCACUACUGACGCUGAGAAGCGAAAGCAUGGGGGAGCGAACAGG